rnacentral:lncRNA from 1 species
GAUAAGGAGAUUGCUCACUCCACGUAAAGCCCAGCAGUCGACAUUUUCCCUCCUCCCCCUCUCUAGCAGACGAAUUCGACUGCGCUGCUCCUUUCGGCCAGCUCCGGAAGCAUUUGACGGCUGAGGACCACUGGAGGACUGGUUUUACGUUUUGAAACGCAAAGAUAUUCGUAUUUCUUAUUUAUUUAGUUCCGUUCAGUGCACUUUAGUGAUUGAAUUGAUGAAUUGAAAAGAAACAAAGAUGAAAAUUAUGUUUCUACUGAUUCAUAAACAAGAAAACUUGUUAACAAUGGUAGGAAACACUUCAGAGUAGUUAACAACUUUGAGGAUCUUGUGCGCUAAUGUUUCUAACACAUUAUGUUGAUUGGAGAGUGCAGAUAACUUUUCUACAACAACGGAAUGAAAAAAUGUUUCAGCUGUGUGAAUCAAGGUCUGGACUUAGAGGAUCAUCACACGAGUUAAACAAGGAAUUUCUUCUGGUUGGACAUUUAACAAGUUUCUCAGUUUUCAGUACAAUGUAGCCAGCAAUGUAUGCUAGGCAUUGGUUGGUGAAGUGAUCUUUCAACUGA